rnacentral:rRNA from 1 species
CUGAGACACGGCCCAGACUCCUACGGGAGGCAGCAGUGGGGAAUCUUCCGCAAUGGGCGAAAGCCUGACGGAGCAACGCCGCGUGAGUGAAGAAGGCCUUCGGGUCGUAAAGCUCUGUCCUCAGGGAAGAAACCUUAAGGGAGGCAAUGCYCUUAAGCUGACGGUACCUGAGGAGGAAGCCCUGGCUAACUACGUGCCAGCAGCCGCGGUAAUACGUAGAGGGCAAGCGUUGUCCGGAAUUACUGGGCGUAAAGGGUACGCAGGUGGAUAACUAAGUCAAAUGUGAAAUACACCGGCUCAACCGGUGAGGUGCAUUUGAAACUGGUAAUCUUGAGUGCAGGAGAGGGGAGCGGAAUUCCUGGUGUAGCGGUGGAAUGCGUAGAUAUCAGGAAGAACACCGGUGGCGAAGGCGGCUCUCUGGCCUGUAACUGACGCUGAGGUACGAAAGCUGGGGGAGCGAACGGGAUUAGAUACCCCGGUAGUCCCAGCCGUAAACGAUGGACACUAGGUGUUGGUGGUUCGAAUCCAUCAGUGCCGGAGUUAACGCGUUAAGUGUCCCGCCUGGGGAGUACGGUCGCAAGACUGAA